CCAACCAAAACUCUUUUUGUAUACCCCCUCGCGGGUUUUUUAUAAUCUGAGCCUUCUCGGCGCCUCUCGUAGGCGUUUCGAAAAUGAAUCAAAACUUUCAACAACGGAUCUCUUGGUUCUGGCAUCGAUGAAGAACGCAGCGAAAUGCGAUAAGUAAUGUGAAUUGCAGAAUUCAGUGAAUCAUCGAAUCUUUGAACGCACAUUGCGCCCGCCAGUAUUCUGGCGGGCAUGCCUGUCCGAGCGUCAUUUCAACCCUCGAACCCCUCCGGGGGGUCGGCGUUGGGGAUCGGCCCUGCCUCUUGGCGGUGGCCGUCUCCGAAAUACAGUGGCGGUCUCGCCGCAGCCUCUCCUGCGCAGUAGUUUGCACACUCGCAUCGGGAGCGCGGCGCGUCCACAGCCGUUAAACACCCAACUUCUGAAAUGUUGACCUCGGAUCAGGUAGGAAUACCCGCUGAAC
rnacentral:rRNA from 1 species